UACGAAGGGGGCUAGCGUUGCUCGGAAUCACUGGGCGUAAAGGGUGCGUAGGCGGGUCUUUAAGUCAGGGGUGAAAUCCUGGAGCUCAACUCCAGAACUGCCUUUGAUACUGAAGAUCUUGAGUUUCGGGAGAGGUGAGUGGAACUGCGAGUGUAGAGGUGAAAUUCGUAGAUAUCGCAAGAACACCAGUGGCGAAGGCGGCUCACUGGCCCGAUACUGACGCUGAGGCACGAAAGCGUGGGU
rnacentral:rRNA from 1 species